UGGUAGCGCUGCCUUCAGAACUGGGCAGCUGGAGAGCGGUGGCUGCUGGUCGGGAGCCCAGCUCUGAAGGCAGCGUCGCCGCCAGCAGCAGUGCAGAAGUAAGGAUGGCCUGGUAUGGUAUCGCCACCCUUCCCUCUGCACUGCCGCCUGCAGAGCUGGGCCCUCCCUAAACAGCCGACACUCUCCGGCCACCCAGUGCUGAAGGCAGCAGUGCAAGAGUCAGGGUGGCAUGGACUGGUAUUGCCACCCCUAAUUCUGCGCUGCUGCUGGCGGGGCGCCGUCUUCAGAGCUGGGCGCCCGGGCAACAGCCACCGCUCUCUGGCACACAGCUCUGCAGGCAGUGCAGAAGCAAGGGUGGCAAUACCAUGACCCCCCUAAAAUAAGCUUGUGACACCCCGCCCGCACCAUCCCUUUUGGGUCAGAACCCCCAAUUUGAGAAAUGUUGGUCUCCCCCAUGAAACCUCUAUUGUAUAGGGUAAAAGCGCACAGAAGACCAGAUUUCAUGGUGGAAGACCAGAUUUCACAGUCCGUGAUGUGUUUUUCAUGGCCAUGAAUUUGAUAGGGCCCUACAUAUAACACAAUAUUGUAAUUUGUAAUAUGUCCUUGUUAGCCACAAACAAACACAGCAGCUACCCGAGAGCUCCUCAGUUAAUGAGAUGUACACACUCUGGGACAGUGUACAGCUGAGUACUAUGCAUGGAAAUCAUACUGUUAAAUUUAUCUGCAAUUAUUAAAAUGGUAAAAGGCACUCUGACUGGAAAGCA